CUCCAGGAGGGAAUAGGAACGUGCGCUGGGUGAUAUUGCAUGGAUAUAGCCCACCUGUCAAUCAAAGCCACUUAAAGGGGAGCGGCGAGGGAAACACUGACAACCAGGGAGGAAGAGAGAGAGCAGGGCACAAAGGAGACACACAUACAUUUAGAGGAGAUGGAGGAGGGUGGAAGCAGAGGCAAAGGAGAGAGAGGAGACGGGGCAGGCCUCCAGCCUCUCUGCUGUCCACAGAAAGCCUGUUUGUUUAGAGGAAAUGACACGUGCUGCCGCCGAGGAAAUGAUCUGCUUGGCCCCAUGUUAAACACCGAGUUGGUCUCCAGAGUUGCAAAGCCAUCCAGGGGCGCAGUGGGAUCAAGUUAAACCCAGCAGGAUGCUCUUGGCCAGGCAUCAGUAUGCACCACCAUGGCCUCUGUGCUCUGGAUUUCGUCAGGAGACUGUAGGUGUGAGUGUGUGAUUUGUAAUCACAUCAGAUGCAAGGACCAAUUGUCGACCGCCAUCAAGUCUGUCGGUAAAGUCUCAGCACAAGAUUAUGGCCCAUUGAUCACCUAGUCUGGCAUAAUGACCAUCAUAACAGACAAAAAAAUCAAGUAGUCUGACCACAUCUUUAACCACACAGACCUUUCCUCUGUGCAUGUGGCUUUGAUCACUGCCUAUGCUCAGGUGCAGAGAUGAUGUAAGGGCUGCAGCAAUGCUUAUAUGGAAUUUUUUUGUUACCACAACAUGCAUUUUAGCUCACAUCAAACUAGAGGCAAAUUUUUUUGUUAAA